rnacentral:piRNA from 2 species
GAAUGCAGCCCAAAGCGGGUGGUAAACU